rnacentral:rRNA from 2 species
GUUGACCUCGGAUCAGGUAGGGAUACCCGCUGAACUUAAGCAUAUCAAUAAGCGGAGGAAAAGAAACCAACCGGGAUUACCUCAGUAACGGCGAGUGAAGCGGUAAGAGCUCAAAUUUGAAAUCUGGCCCCUCCGGGGUCCGAGUUGUAAUUUGCAGAGGAUGCUUCGGGUGCAGCCCCCAUCUAAGUUCCCUGGAACGGGACGUCAUAGAGGGUGAGAAUCCCGUAUGGGAUGGGGUGUCUGCGUCCGUGUGAAGCUCCUUCGACGAGUCGAGUUGUUUGGGAAUGCAGCUCUAAAUGGGUGGUAAAUUUCAUCUAAAGCUAAAUAUUGGCCGGAGACCGAUAGCGCACAAGUAGAGUGAUCGAAAGAUGAAAAGCACUUUGAAAAGAGAGUUAAACAGCACGUGAAAUUGUUGAAAGGGAAGCGCUUGCGACCAGACUCGCCUACGGGGUUCAGCCGGCUUUCGGGCCGGUGUACUUCCCCGUGGGCGGGCCAGCGUCGGUUUGGGCGGCCGGUCAAAGGCCUCGGGAAUGUAGCCCCUCUCGGGGGGCCUUAUAGCCCGGGGUGCAAUGCGGCCUGCCUGGACCGAGGAACGCGCUUCGGCACGGACGCUGGCAUAAUGGUCGUAAGCGACC